UGAAGCCGGCGUCCAGGAGGUCCUUGAAGAUGUCCACGUCUGUGAACAUGUCCAUGACCACGGCGAUGACCUGGAGAGGGGAGAGAUGAGGCUGGGUAGCGUGGCCAGGGACAGCCCAAGGCGAUGGGGGGAAGAGCAAGGCUGUGUGGGGAGCCCCAGCCCUGCUGUCCCUGAUGCCACCCUGGUGUCCCCAGCCCUGACCACGCAGGAGUGUUUUGGGAGGUGCCAGCGAGCCAGGAUCUGCAAACCCCAGCAUUGUCUCUGCAGCAGCCAGGUGGACCUGACGCAUCCCAGGCUGUCCCCUCUGCUCCCAGCUACCCUGGCAGGCUCUCCCUGUUUCCCUGCUGGAACAUCCUCGGGGUUGGGAAGCUCCUUCCUUGGAGCUCUCACGGUACUGGAUGCACAGAACUCAGAGAGCUUCAGAGCACCAAGAACCCAGCAGGUACCAACCCCUCCUGCACGUCCCAGCUGGGACUGGGUCACAGGGAAACACCAGCAACAUCUGCCCACCUCUGCUGGCCUUCAGCACAGGCCAGCACCUCCCUCCUUCCCCGGCCCUCCUGCCCAUGGUGAUGCCUCAUGCAUCCCCUCUCCCUGCUCCUUGGUUUGACGCCACAGGGAGGACAAGUCUCAACCCAAGUCCCUUCAGCAUGUGCCCAGCCUUGUCCCGCUCAGCAGCUCAUCCUUCUCCUCUGAGAGCCAGGGUGAGCCAGCCUGGGGCACCGCAGCCAUCCCAGGCCAAACUGGGGCCUGGUGUGGGUCCGUGCCAGACCAGAAACUUUCACUGCUUUGCCCCAGGGUCACAGACUGGACAGAUGGUGGACACGAGGACUGAGGCCGGGCCAUGACCCCAGGGUCAGUACUGGACAGCUGGCAGGCCCAGGGCCUGAAGCCAGACCAUAAUCCCAGGUUCCUGCACGCUGUCAGGGGCUGUCACACCGGGAAUAACGACUGUGGAGUGGCUGGGACCAUGGGCUCACAGCUGGACAACAGCUCAACCCAUUUUCCUCCCCAGCAGUUUUCCCCAGAGUCCGGCAGGGACCCCGGGGUGAACAAUCCUGCUGUAGGGAUGUUGGGAAGGGCUGUGCUGCUCCCAGGAGUGCUGGAGCAGGCUGGCAGCAUCCUCAGCAAAACCCCAUCCCCAAAUAUCGGCUGCAAGGAGAAACCCGCCCGCCUGGCCCCGCUGCCUCUGCCCGGGCAGAGCUUCCCGCGGGCCAGGGACUGCCCGGCUGGG